GACGAACCGUGCGAACGUUAUUCGGAAUCACUGGGCUUAAAGCGCGUGUAGGCGGGCCGGCACGUCGGUCGUUGAAAUCCCCCGGCUCAACCGGGGAAGCGGCGCCGAUACGACCGGCCUCGAGGGACGUAGGGGGGGCUGGAACUUCCGGUGGAGCGGUGAAAUGCGCAGAUAUCAGGAGGAACACCGGUGGCGAAGGCGGGUCUCUGGGCCGAUACUGACGCUGAGGAGCGAAAGCGUGGGGAGCGAACAGG
rnacentral:rRNA from 1 species